rnacentral:rRNA from 1 species
CUCAACUGUAGUAGUGCUGGCGAUACUGUAUAACUAGAACAUGGGAGGGGUACCUGGAAUGUGUGGUGUAGCGGUGAAAUGCGUAGAUAUCACACAGAACACCGGAGGCAAAGGCGGGGUACUAGACCAUAGUUGACGCUGAGGCACGAAAGCGUGGGGAUCAAACAGGAUUAGAUACCCUGGUAGUCCACGCCCUAAACGAUGAUCACUAGAUAUUGGCGACAGACAGUCAGUGUCCAAGCGAAAGUGAUAAGUGAUCCACCUGGGGAAUACGGCCGCAAGGUUAAAACUCAAAGGAAUUGACGGGGGCCCGCACAAGCGGAGGAGCAUGUGGUUUAAUUCGAUGGUACGCGAGGAACCUUACCUGG